AGAAAAUUGGUAUAUAGGAAAACAAUGUGUUAUGUUGGAGUCUGAGUUGCCAGGUCAACAGAAAACAAAACAAAACAAAAAAAAAACCAACCUCCACUCCAAACGUUUAACUAAAGAGAGAGGUAUGAGCCAGGGUCAAGACAUCUAGAAAGGGUGAGGAGAGGCUCUACCAGCAGGAAGCUCUUCCCACCCCAGUGUCUGAAGGGCAGCUGACAAGAGAAUCUCACUGGAUUUAUGGAGGAGAGACUACCUAAGGGGAGCAGUAAAAAUGAGAGUGCAGCUCUGCCCAGAUGGCCAUGUGAAGUUGGAGUGGGCCAGGAUUCCCCCAGUUGGACUCUCACAUACCUGUGGACCUCAAGUGCUCCUUCAUAUGUGUUUUCAAUGAACUUCAUCCAAACCACAUCAAAUGGCUGUGUAUAACACUAAGGAAAUGUCAUAUUGUCUCCUAGUCCUCUACCAUGGAAAAUCUGCGCAGAGGCUUUCAAGGAAAAUAAAGGUCUUUUACACACACUGAAGAUCAUGUGAAGAAAGAGAGAAGAUGGUCAUCUAUACACCAAGUUAAACGACCCUCAGAAGAAACCAACCCUAUGGACAACUUGAUCUUGAACUUCUAGCUUUCAGACCUGUGAGAAAAUAAAUUGCUGUUGUUUAAAUUUAAAAAAACAGUCUUUUAAAUCAUGUAUGAAACAAAGUGUUGUUACAAACCAUUGUUAUAAUAGUACUAGCUUUUGUAAUUGCCUAUUUGUCCAUCUUUACUGAGAUCUUUAUUUCUUCAUAUGGCUUUGAGUUACUGAGUAGUGUCCUUUUAUUUCAACCUGAAGAACUCCCUUGAGUGUUUCUCUUAGGGUAUGUCUAGAAGUAACAGAUUACCUUAGCUUUCGUUAAUCUGGGAAUGUUGUAAUUCUCCUUCACUUUUGAAGGACAAUUUUUACCAAAUAUAGAAUUUGGGGUUGAUAUUUUUAUUUAUUUUAGCACUUUGAAUAUAUCAGCCCACUGCCUUUUGGUCUCCAGUAUUUAUGAUGAGACUCUCUUUUUUUAAUCUCAUAAUUUACUAUUUAUUAUUUUUAAAUGUUUCUAGAGAUAUACAGUAAUUAAACAUAUUUGUGGGAUACACAUGAUAUUUUGAUACAAGAAUAUACAAUGUGUAAGCUGUAUAUUCAAUAUACAAUCAGUGAUCAAAUCAGGAUAUUUAUUAGGAUAUACAUCAACUUGAACAUUUAUCAUUUCUUUGUGUUGGGAGUAUUUUAAAUCUUCUUUACUAGCUUUCAUGAAAUAUAAAAUAUUGUUAACUAGUCAUUCCACUGUGUUAUCAAACACUAGAACUUAUUCCCCCAUCUGCACUAUAUCUUUGAACCUAUAAUCUUAUUGAUGAUCUUUUUAUGUGAUGAAUCACUUUUCUAUUGCAACUUUCAAGACUCUGUGUUUGGCUUUUGACAGUUUGAUUAUAUUGUGUCUCAGUGUGGAUCUUUUUGAGUUCAUCCUACUUGGAGUUACUGAGUUUCUUGAAUAUUUUUACUUAUGUCUUUUAUCAAAUUUGUAAAGACUUUGGCCAUCAAUUCUCUUAAUAAUCUAUCUUUCCUGUUUUCUCUUCUGUUUCUUAGCCUACCACCACACGUGUUGUUCUGCUCAACAGUGUUCCAGAAGUCCCUUAAGCUCUGUUCACUUUUCUUCAAUCAUUUUACUUUCUGUUCCUCAGAUUCAAUGAUUUCCUUUGUCCUAUUUCAAAUUUGUUGAUUCUUCUUCGUUCUCAAAUCAGCCUUUGAAUCUCUCUAGUGAAUUUUUUAUUUCAGUUAUAACACUUUUUAGCAUCAAAUUUAUUGUUUCUUCAUAGGUUUUCUAUAUGUUUGCAAAUAUUUCUAUUUUGUCCUUAUGUCAUUUUCUUGGCUUUUUCUGCAUCUUUUGUUAGCUCUUUCAGUAUCUUUAAGAUAAUUGUUUUUGUUUAGUAGAUCUGACAUCAGGUCUUUUUCAGGAGCUGCUUCUUUUUUUCCCAUUAAAAUGGGCCACACAUUCCUUUUCUUUUGUAUGUCUCUUGAUUUUUUUUGUUAAAAAUGGACAUUUGAAGCUAAUGAUUUGAUAACACUGGAAAUUAGGUUCUCUCCCUUCCCUGGGGUUUACUGGGCUUUUGUUUUUGGUUUUGUUUUUUUGUUGUUGUUGUUGCUUACUGUUUUUGUUUUUUUAAUUGUUGUAGGCUGUCUCAGUGCUGAGGGUUAGCCUGAGCUUAAGGUUAGGCUAACCUGACCUUAAGGUAAACUUAAGGUCUUCUCAGGUCUUUCUGAGCCUGUGCCUUUCCCUGGGCAUACAUAGUCACCUUCCAAUAUCCCCCAUAUAUGCAGUCACUUCGGAAUGUCCCAGUCUCUAAUGGAUGGCUCCCAAAAGGGGAAAAGAUAAAAAUUAAGGAGAAGAAAAAGAAUGCUGGGUUUUUAAGUACCCUGGAAGUCACCUCAGCGAGAGAGGGGCUAGCAAUAAUGAGGGUGGGGCAAUAGCAAUGGCCACCUGCCUCUUUGUCUGUACUUCUGUGAUGAGAAGCAGCAAUUAAUAAUCACAGCACAAAUACUUGGAGGACUGGGUCCUUAUUGCCCACCCUGGCUCCCACAAGCUGUAUGCAGUCUUCUUCAGGUCAUGGGCACAGCUGCCUGCCACAGGGCUGGGGCGGUCAAUAGGUAGUUACUACUGUGCUGAGUCUAAGUUGACCAAAACUAACUGAAAUUUACUUCUAAGACAUUCCCUGGAAGUUGCAAGCCUUCAAUAGACUCCAGAAUUCCAAAAUAGUUACAUCAGGCAGAUUCUGCCAGUGCAGUUGUUGUCUGGAUGGGUAAACAGAUUCCUGGAGCUUCCUAUUUCAGCAUCUUGCCAGAAUCUUCUCCCUAUGUGUAUUUAUUUUAUCACAUCUUGAGAUAGUUUUUGUUUCAGAACUUUGCUAUCCACUAUGCUGAGUAGAACUUCAAGAGCUGUCCCUGUGUCUAAUAGACUAGAAGUGGUAGAUUUCAGCCUGGGAGUACACACUGCGGUCACAACCAUCCAUAUGGCAGGAAGUAGUCUACUGAGUUUUUGGCGGCCAUGAUUCUUUGGCAUUUCUGGUUUGGUGGUCGUUGAUUCCUAAAUAUUAAAGUGGUUCCCAGCAUGUAUCAGUUGUUUGUUUGCUAAAUGACCUUAAAUGUUCUGAUACUUGCAGAAAUGAAAAAAGCUAGUUUCUCUGUCAAUAAGACUCUGAUCUGAAUGUGAAUAAAUAUGCAUGAGCAGUAACUUAAUGCACAUCUGGAAAAUAUGCUUUGUUAGAAAUCUAUCACUAUUUUUUUUAAUUUGGAGAGUUUUUCUCAAGAACAAUAGAAUGUAAUAAAAUUUAAGGAAGUGCAUUUUACAAAAAGUAUCAAAGACUUUAUUAAACAUCAACUCUUUACUUGAAGAAAUAAUGUUGUUUAAAAAAAUCAAUCUUGUGAAUUGUCUCCUGGGAAGUUUGUCAGUGAUUUCUUUCUUUCUUGUUCUUUUUUGUCCUUAUAUAAAGUAACCAAGCUUUAUUCCUAUAAGCUGUAAAUUUUAACAGAAAGCAGAUUCACAUGUAUUUAUUAACAUUCCUAAAUUCUCAACACCACUUAUUAAUCC
rnacentral:lncRNA from 1 species